CCGUUGAAGAAGACAGUAUUUUCCCUGUAAAGGAAGAAACAGAUAUGUUGCUCUGCAGCCUGCUGAAGGUGGUCACGGCUUCGAUGUGGCUAGGAUAUGGUAUUGCCCAGAAGGUAACUCAAGUCCAACCGGCAAUGUUGGUGCAGGAGAAGGAGGCUGUGACUCUGGGAUGCACUUAUGACACCAGUGAUAGUGAUUACUAUCUAUUCUGGUACAAACAACCCAGUAGUAGGGAGUUAAUUCUUAUUAUUCGCCAAGGCGCCUAUAGCCAGAAAAAUGAAACAGAAGGUCGCUACUCACUGAAUUUCCAGAAGGCCAGCAAAUCCAUCACCCUUGUCAUCUCAGCUUCAGAACUGGGGGACUCAGCGAUAUAUUUCUGUGCACUGAGUGGCCCACAGUGA